rnacentral:tmRNA from 1 species
CGUCUGGCAGAAAGGCCGACAACGCUCUAUAUUGAGCGUGCCGGGAAACCGGCUAUGGCGCUAAACGCUCUAUGGAAUAAGCGUUACGGACCCGGGGGCGGUACCCGGCGCCUCCACCAAUCCCCCGUGCUUGACCGGCCAGCGGCCGGGACAGACGGGCCUUCUGGGGGCGAAAUAGGAUCGCCGUGCGUAGUAAAGAUAGAGUCUGUGCCCGGCAUGGUACCGCCGUUAUCGGGCUAAUAUCACAAGUGCCAACGAUAAUGUCGUGGCUCUCGCUGCUUAAUCAUUAAGCAAGCGCGGUUCGGGGGGCACCGGGCAACAGAAGCCCCCCACU